rnacentral:rRNA from 1 species
CAUAGCAGUGAGGAAUAUUGGUCAAUGGCCUAACGGCCGAACCAGCAACUUGGAAGAAUGUUAGCAGUAAUUACGUUACAUAAAAUUCCUGGUAAAUAUUUGAUGAUGACAUGAUUUAUCAGUAAGUCUUGACCAAAUCACGUGCCAGCAGUCGCGGUAACACGUGGAAGACAAGUGUUAUUCAUCUUUAAUAGGUUUAUAGGGUACCUAGACAGCUAAUCAAGCCUACAUCAGGGACUAAUUAUGCUAGAGUUUUAUGGAAGAAGGAUAGAAUGGUGGUGUAGAGAUAAAAUAUUUUGAUACCCCUUUAAGACUGGCAAGGGCGAAAGCGACCUUUUAUGUAAAAACUGACGUUGAGGGACGAAGGCUCAAAGGAAGAAACAGGAUUAGAUACCCCAGUACUGUGAGCAGACAAUGAUGAGUGUCAUAUAUAAGUACGUGUUAGGUUUUAAACUAUUAUAAAAAUGCUUUAUUAAGAUUUAUGUAUAAAUGAAAGUGUAAGCACUCCACCUUAAGAGUAACAUGGCAACAUGGGAACUGAAAUCAUUAGACCGUUUCUGAAACCAGUAGUGAAGUAUGUUGUUUAAUUUGAUGGUCCACAAAGAACCUUACCUAAAUUUGAACAAUUUACAGGUGUUGCACGGCUGUUUAUAGUUUAUAUCGUGAGAUCUAAUCGACGAAAACCCUAACUUUAUUUUUUUCAUAAAGUAAUUUAUAAUUGAAAUUACAGUUAUAUAACAGGGAUUAAGACAAGUCAUCGUGACCCUAAUAUUUAGGGC